AUUAGUGUUGUUUAUUUUUUUAGUGAUUUUUAAGCUAAUGAUCUCUGUUUAAGUUUUAUUUAGGAUUUGCUGCUUAUUCGGAUAAAACAACAAUCUCCCAAUCAGGAGCUGCAUCGCAAUCGAAGAAGGCAUCUUCAGCAUCUGUUGACAAACCAAGCUAUAGGUUCCGAUCAGAUCAUGUCCCGCCUGCAUGGUUCAAUACCGUCGCAGGCGGAUCGAAAGGCCUCCCUCUUACCAAAGCGCACACCGCUCACUGAGGAAGAGAUUGAGGCUAUUUUGGUUUGUGAGUUUCUUUUUGUUUUUCAAUACCUGUUUUCUUAUUAAGGUCUAAGCUAUCACGAUUUGAAAGUUUAACCAUUGGUUAUUAGCGUUUUCUUGCUGCUUCUUUGCCUGGGAUAAUUAAAGGCGGGUUUUUUUUUUUUAUUUUUGUAAGAUCACUUGAUGCUCUCGAUCCGAUCCGGCCUUAUGAUGUGGUUGUGGUUGGCUCAUGACGAACACUUCGUUAUCAAUAAACCACAUACACUGUUGUUCCUCUUGAUUUGCCUACUCACAGUGACUCAGUUGCGCCUUUCUGAUGCUAGAUCACCUUGAUGUCUCUCAUUUAUAACUGUUGAGAAUUAAUGUGGAUUUUUUUCUUCUUCUUUGUCUUUAAGUUGUCUUUAUACUUCACUUGUUUUUUUGUUUGUUCAUUUCUGAUGAUUGGUGACGAUGGUUCUGCUGUGUGCUAUCGAAAAAUUAAUAAAAGAACUAAGCUGGUUUUAAUA